rnacentral:rRNA from 1 species
GACGAACGCUGGCGGCGUGCUUAACGCAUGCAAGUCGAACGGAAAGGCCCUGCUUUUGUGCGGUUCUCGAGUGGCGAACGGGUGAGUAACACGUGAGUAACCUGCCCUUGACUUUGGGAUAACUUCAGGAAACUGGGGCUCAUACCGGAUAGGAUCUCCUGCUGCAUGGUGGGGGUUGGAAAGUUUCGGCGGUUGGGGAUGGACUCGCGGCUUAUCAGCUUGUUGGUGGGGUAGUGGCUUACGAAGGGUUUGACGGGUAGCCGGCCUGGGAGGGUGACCGGGGUCAAUGGGCCUGAGGGAGGGAGCAGACGGGAAUGGGAGGCAGCGGGGGGGAGCAUGACAGAACGAGGGGGAGUGAGAGGUGAAAGUGUUGGGAGCGGGAUGACGGGUUACGGGGUGAAAACAGAUGUGGAAGGUGAUGAAGAGGGCGUGACGGUAAUGAGUCAAGAAGCAACGGCUAACUACGUG